UACGGAGGGUCCAAGCGUUAUCCGGAAUCAUUGGGCUUAAAGGGUCCGUAGGCGGUUUUGUAAGUCAGUGGUGAAAUCCCAUCGCUCAACGGUGGAACGGCCAUUGAUACUGCAAGACUUGAAUUAUUAGGAAGUAACUAGAAUAUGUAGUGUAGCGGUGAAAUGCUUAGAGAUUACAUGGAAUACCAAUUGCGAAGGCAGGUUACUGCUAAUGGAUUGACGCUGAUGGACGAAAGCGUGGGGAGCGAACAGG
rnacentral:rRNA from 1 species